CAGUCGUACCUGCGGACAAUCAGCUUUUUGAGUGUGAUUAUGUGGAUUGUGAGGAGUUUAAUCACCCUCAUGUUUUACGUAUUCGUGCUCUUGGGUGUACUUGCUCGUGUGGUAGGUUAACAUCAAUUUUGGUCAUCAUAAAAUGGCUGGAGGAAUGUAGCUUCGGUCUCGUAUUGAAGUGUUAUAGCCUUUGGUAGACGUGAUGAUUGGGAUUGAGG
rnacentral:rRNA from 1 species